rnacentral:rRNA from 1 species
UUCCUACGGGAGGCUGCAGUAAGGAAUAUUGGUCAAUGGGCGCAAGCCUGAACCAGCCAUGCCGCGUGAAGGAUGACGGCCCUAUGGGUUGUAAACUUCUUUUGUACGGGAAAAAACCCCCGGUCGUGUACCGGGGUUGAUGGUACCGUAAGAAUAAGCAUCGGCUAACUCCGUGCCAGCAGCCGCGGUAAUACGGAGGAUGCAAGCGUUAUCCGGAUUCAUUGGGUUUAAAGGGUGCGCAGGCGGAUUGGUAAGUCAGUGGUGAAAUCCUACGGCUCAACUGUAGAACUGCCAUUGAUACUGCCGAUCUUGAGUACACUUGAAGUGGGCGGAAUGUGUCAUGUAGCGGUGAAAUGCUUAGAUAUGACACAGAACACCGAUCGCGAAGGCAGCUCACUAAAUUGUAACUGACGCUCAUGCACGAAAGCGUGGGGAUCAAACAGGAUUAGAUACCCCUGUAGUCG